CCCCAACUUCGGUCUAUUACAGAGUUUUCAAUGUUGACAUGAACAAAACACAGAGCAUGGUCCUUCACAAUUCGAAAAAGGUAAAUCUUCUCCUAUUGCGUUGCUUUGGACAACUCUUUUUUGGAAAAUAAAUUUCCCCCAUUUUCUUCUUUUGCUUGGAGUGAUUUAUUUGUUGAUCUUUAAUCUUUUGAAGUUAGUCUUCUAUGUGGAGUCCAUCAUGGAGACUAGUAUUAUUCAUUUAGUUGCAAGCUAUCCAGAUCGUUGGAGCUCCCCAUCAGAUAAAUUGUCAAGCUUUUGUCUUUAUUUUCAAUGUAUCAAUGUAAUUGUGUCUUUAAUUCUGCAUCGUAUGAUCUUUCUUAUUUUGAGAUUCUACAAUUUGCUUGACAAAAAAAAUC
rnacentral:lncRNA from 1 species